GAGUGAACGCUGGCGGUAGGCCUACCACAUGCAAGUCGAACGGCAGCACAGUAAGAGCUUGCUCUUACGGGUGGCGAGUGGCGGACGGGUGAGGAAUACAUCGGAAUCUACUUUUUCGUGGGGGAUAACGUAGGGAAACUUACGCUAAUACCGCAUACGACCUACGGGUGAAAGCAGGGGAUCUUCGGACCUUGCGCGAUUGAAUGAGCCGAUGUCGGAUUAGCUAGUUGGCGGGGUAAAGGCCCACCAAGGCGACGAUCCGUAGCUGGUCUGAGAGGAUGAUCAGCCACACUGGAACUGAGACACGGUUCAGACUCCUACGGGAGGCAGCAGUGGGGAAUAUUGGACAAUGGGCGCAAGCCUGAUCCAGCCAUACCGCGUGGGUGAAGAAGGCCUUCGGGUUGUAAAGCCCUUUUGUUGGGAAAGAAAAGCAGCAGGUUAAUACCCCGCUGUUCUGACGGUACCCAAAGAAUAAGCACCGGCUAACUUCGUG
rnacentral:rRNA from 1 species